GUAAUUUGUCUAAACACCUUGAGUUCGAGAUCAGUCGUUUCAUGUGCACGCAGAAAUUGAAUACUACUUUGAGGGUAGACGAGAUGGCGAGUCAAACUAAGAUAUCAGAGAGUUCGUGUCUUUCGAGAGGCCGAGCUCUAGCUAGGCUUUACACCACGAAGAUCUGCUGUAGCUACCUGAAACGGAUCCAAAUUUCUGGCUGGCUGUUGCUUUGAUCUAGUUCGUAGCACACGUUGCCACUGUCUUCAAAUCCCUUAGGGGAUGUGCCACUCCAUCUCUUCGGAGCUCAUACACCUUGAGGAGAUCUCUCUAU